AGAGUUUGAUCCUGGCUCAGGAUGAACGCUGGCGGCGUGCUUAACACAUGCAAGUCGAGCGAAGCGAUUUAAAUGAGACUUCGGUGGAUUUUAAAUUGACUGAGCGGCGGACGGGUGAGUAACGCGUGGAUAACCUGCCUCACACAGGGGGAUAACAGUUAGAAAUGACUGCUAAUACCGCAUAAGCGCACGGUACUGCAUGGUAUAGUGUGAAAAACUCCGGUGGUGUGAGAUGGAUCCGCGUCUGAUUAGGUAGUUGGUGAGGUAACGGCCCACCAAGCCGACGAUCAGUAGCCGACCUGAGAGGGUGACCGGCCACAUUGGGACUGAGACACGGCCCAAACUCCUACGGGAGGCAGCAGUGGGGAAUAUUGCACAAUGGGGGAAACCCUGAUGCAGCGACGCCGCGUGAGCGAAGAAGUAUUUCGGUAUGUAAAGCUCUAUCAGCAGGGAAGAUAAUGACGGUACCUGACUAAGAAGCCCCGGCUAACUACGUGCCAGCAGCCGCGGUAAUACGUAGGGGGCAAGCGUUAUCCGGAUUUACUGGGUGUAAAGGGAGCGUAGACGGCAAGGCAAGUCUGAUGUGAAAACCCAGGGCUUAACCCUGGGACUGCAUUGGAAACUGUCUGGCUCGAGUGCCGGAGAGGUAAGCGGAAUUCCUAGUGUAGCGGUGAAAUGCGUAGAUAUUAGGAAGAACACCAGUGGCGAAGGCGGCUUACUGGACGGUAACUGACGUUGAGGCUCGAAAGCGUGGGGAGCAAACAGGAUUAGAUACCCUGGUAGUCCACGCCGUAAACGAUGAA
rnacentral:rRNA from 1 species